AGAGAACCUUGCUUCUCUUGAGAGCGGCGGACGGGUGAGUAAUACCUAGGAAUCUGCCUGAUAGUGGGGGAUAACGUUCGGAAACGGACGCUAAUACCGCAUACGUCCUACGGGAGAAAGCAGGGGACCUUCGGGCCUUGCGCUAUCAGAUGAGCCUAGGUCGGAUUAGCUAGUUGGUGAGGUAAUGGCUCACCAAGGCUACGAUCCGUAACUGGUCUGAGAGGAUGAUCAGUCACACUGGAACUGAGACACGGUCCAGACUCCUACGGGAGGCAGCAGUGGGGAAUAUUGGACAAUGGGCGAAAGCCUGAUCCAGCCAUGCCGCGUGUGUGAAGAAGGUCUUCGGAUUGUAAAGCACUUUAAGUUGGGAGGAAGGGCAUUAACCUAAUACGUURGUGUCUUGACGUUACCGACAGAAUAAGCACCGGCUAACUCUGUGCCAGCAGCCGCGGUAAUACAGAGGGUGCAAGCGUUAAUCGGAAUUACUGGGCGUAAAGCGCGCGUAGGUGGUUUGUUAAGUUGAAUGUGAAAUCCCCGGGCUCAACCUGGGAACUGCAUCCAAAACUGGCAAGCUAGAGUAUGGUAGAGGGUAGUGGAAUUUCCUGUGUAGCGGUGAAAUGCGUAGAUAUAGGAAGGAACACCAGUGGCGAAGGCGACUACCUGGACUGAUACUGACACUGAGGUGCGAAAGCGUGGGGAGCAAACAGGAUUAGAUACCCUGGUAGUCCACGCCGUAAACGAUGUCAACUAGCCGUUGGGAGUCUUGAACUCUUAGUGGCGCAGCUAACGCAUUAAGUUGACCGCCUGGGGAGUACGGCCGCAAGGUUAAAACUCAAAUGAAUUGACGGGG
rnacentral:rRNA from 1 species